AGUGAACGCUGGCGGUAGGCCUAACACAUGCAAGUCGAACGGCAGCACAGUAAGAGCUUGCUCUUACGGGUGGCGAGUGGCGGACGGGUGAGGAAUACAUCGGAAUCUACUUUUUCGUGGGGGAUAACGUAGGGAAACUUACGCUAAUACCGCAUACGACCUACGGGUGAAAGCAGGGGAUCUUCGGACCUUGCGCGAUUGAAUGAGCCGAUGUCGGAUUAGCUAGUUGGCGGGGUAAAGGCCCACCAAGGCGACGAUCCGUAGCUGGUCUGAGAGGAUGAUCAGCCACACUGGAACUGAGACACGGUCCAUACUCCUCGGGGAUGCAGCAGUGGGGAAUAUUGGACAAUGUGCGGAAGCCUUAUCCAGUCAUACCGCGUGAGUGAAGAAGGCCUUCGGGUUGUAAAGCCCUUUUGUUGGGAAAGAAGAGCAGCAGGUUAAUACCCCGCUGUUCUGACGGUACCCAAAGAAUAAGCACCGGCUAACUACGUG
rnacentral:rRNA from 1 species